GACGAACGCUGGCGGCGUGCCUAAUACAUGCAAGUAGAACGCAGUUGCGAACGGGUGAGUAACGCGUAGGUAACUGCCUCAUAGCGGGGGAUAACUAUUGGAAACGAUAGCUAAUACCGCAUACUGUGCGAUGGACCUUCGUUGUAUUAGCUAGUUGGUGAGGUAAAGGCUCACCAAGGCGACGAUACAUAGCCGACCUGAGAGGGUGAUGGGCCACACUGGGACUGAGACACGGCCCAGAAUCCGACGGGAGGCAGAAGUAGGGAAUCUUCGGCAAUGGACGGAAGGCUGACCGAGCAACGCCGCGUGAGUGAAGAAGGUUUUCGGAGCGUAAAGCUCUGUUGUUAGAGAAGCGGUAACUAACAAGAAAGGGACGGCUAAUUACGUGCCAGCAGCCGGGUAAUUC
rnacentral:rRNA from 1 species